UCUGCCCUCAGGAGGGGGAUAACGGCUGGAAACGGCCGCUAAUACCCCAUAUGCCGAGAGGUGAAAUGAAAUUCGCCUGAGGAUGAGCUCGCGUCUGAUUAGCUAGUUGGUGGGGUAAGAGCCUACCAAGGCUUCGAUCAGUAGCUGGUCUGAGAGGAUGAUCAGCCACACUGGGACUGAGACACGGCCCAGACUCCUACGGGAGGCAGCAGUGGGGAAUUUUCCGCAAUGGGCGAAAGCCUGACGGAGCAAUACCGCGUGAGGGAAGAAUGCCUAUGGGUUGUAAACCUCUUUUUUCAGGGAGGAAUAAAUGACGUGUACCUGAAGAAUAAGCAUCGGCUAACUCCGUGCCAGCAGCCGCGGUAAUCUGAUG
rnacentral:rRNA from 1 species